UCAGGAUGAACGCCGGCGGUGUGCCUAAUACAUGCAAGUCGUACGCACUGGCCCAACUGAUUGAUGGUGCUUGCACCUGAUUGACGUUGGAUCACCAGUGAGUGGCGGACGGGUGAGUAACACGUAGGUAACCUGCCCCGGAGCGGGGGAUAACAUUUGGAAACAGAUGCUAAUACCGCAUAACAACAAAAGCCACAUGGCUUUUGUUUGAAAGAUGGCUUUAGCUAUCACUCUGGGAUGGACCUGCGGUGCAUUAGCUAGUUGGUAAGGUAACGGCUUACCAAGGCGAUGAUGCAUAGCCGAGUUGAGAGACUGAUCGGCCACAAUGGAACUGAGACACGGUCCAUACUCCUACGGGAGGCAGCAGUAGGGAAUCUUCCACAAUGGGCGCAAGCCUGAUGGAGCAACACCGCGUGAGUGAAGAAGGGUUUCGGCUCGUAAAGCUCUGUUGUUGGAGAAGAACGUGCGUGAGAGUAACUGUUCACGCAGUGACGGUAUCCAACCAGAAAGUCACGGCUAACUACGUGCCAGCAGCCGCGGUAAUACGUAGGUGGCAAGCGUUAUCCGGAUUUAUUGGGCGUAAAGCGAGCGCAGGCGGUUGCUUAGGUCUGAUGUGAAAGCCUUCGGCUUAACCGAAGAAGUGCAUCGGAAACCGGGCAACUUGAGUGCAGAAGAGGACAGUGGAACUCCAUGUGUAGCGGUGGAAUGCGUAGAUAUAUGGAAGAACACCAGUGGCGAAGGCGGCUGUCUGGUCUGCAACUGACGCUGAGGCUCGAAAGCAUGGGUAGCGAACAGGAUUAGAUACCCUGGUAGUCCAUGCCGUAAACGAU
rnacentral:rRNA from 1 species